AUGAACAACCUCAGGGACGAGGAUUCCGCCGUCUAUUUCUGCGCCAAAACCACUGGGCUCCGGGCGGCCGUGACCCUGCUGGAGUCCGGGGGGGACCUCCAGCCCCCCGGGGGGUCCCUGCGCCUCCUCUGCCGAGGGUCCGGCUUUGAUUUCGGGAGCUACGACAUGUUCUGGAUCCGCCAGAGACCCAGGCAGGGGCUGGAAUUCGUCGCGUGGAUCUGGAACACUGGAACCAGCACUGCCUACGCGCCGUCGGUGCAGGGCCGGUUCACGAUCUCCAGGGACAACGGGCAGAGCUCGGUGACGCUGACCAUGAACAACCUCAGGGACGAGGAUUCCGGAUCCUAUUUCUGUGCCAAAUGUUCCACCAGUGGUUGUGGUCCUAAUAUUUAUGCUGGUCGUGGUGACAGCGUCAAUAAUGGCUCCACCCACUGA